CAUUGAACAUCGACAUUUCGAACGCACAUUGCGGAGCUGGGUUUCUCCCGGCUCCAGGUUCUGUUGACCGCGUCAAA
rnacentral:rRNA from 1 species